AAGUGCCUCGCAAGAGGAGCCGUGAGACAGGUGCUGCAUGGCUGUCGUCAGCUCGUGUCGUGAGAUGUUCGGUUAAGUCCGCUAACGAGCGCAACCCUCGCUGUGUGUUAUAUGUGUCACACGGGACUGCCGGUCUUAAGCCGGAGGAAGGUGGGGAUGAUGUCAAGUCAGCAUGGCCUUUAUAUCCUGGGCUACACACACGCUACAAUGGCCAACACAAUAGGUUGCUAAGCCGCGAGGUGGCGCCAAUCCAUAAAGUUGGUCUCAGUUCAGAUUGUAGGCUGCAACCCGCCUGCAUGAAGAUGGAGUUGCUAGUAACCGCAGGUCAGCUAUACUGCGGUGAAUACGUUCCCGGGGCUU
rnacentral:rRNA from 1 species